UAUAAGCCAAACAAUUGAUUGCAUGACAUGAAGGCUUAUAUAAUUCCAAAUGAAAGGGGGAGCUUUAACUUCAAAAUUUAUUGUUUCACACCUUUCAGGUUUGGAUAAAUUAAAUAACCAGACACUUGAAUUCAUUUUAAAAUUUUACUAUAAAUCUCCUUGUUUGUUGAGCAAUUCACUUUACAUAUACUCAAUGUUUUGUCAUCAUCAAAAAGGGGAAGAUUGUGGAGUGAUUGAUU
rnacentral:lncRNA from 1 species